rnacentral:rRNA from 1 species
CACGUAGGGGGCAAGCGUUGUCCGGAUUUAUUGGGCGUAAAGAGCUCGUAGGCGGCUCAGUAAGUCGGGUGUGAAACCUCCAGGCUCAACCUGGAGACGCCACCCGAUACUGCUGUGGCUUGAGUCCGGUAGGGGAGCGUGGAAUUCCUGGUGUAGCGGUGAAAUGCGCAGAUAUCAGGAGGAACACCAGCGGCGAAGGCGGCGCUCUGGGCCGGUACUGACGCUGAGGAGCGAAAGCGUGGGUAGCAAACAGG